rnacentral:tRNA from 1 species
GGAGAGGUGGCUGAGAGGCCGAAAGCAGCGCCUUGCUAAGGCGCCGUACGGGCAACUGUACCGGGAGUUCGAAUCUCCCCCUCUCCGCCA